GGUGAUCCCAAUUAGCAUAGGUAAACGCCCCAUCAAUCUCCACUGCAGGGCCAUGUGCACACACAGAAACCACACACAGAAAUUGAGAAGAAAGUUGAGAAGUCGAGAAUGCCUAAAUGAAAGUCUAAAGAGGGUGGAGCACCAGACUCCAAACGUAAAAACCCCUCAACAGUUCUGAGGUGGAGGUACUGCUGCAGGAAGUGAACACCAAACAAGCUGUCAUAUGUGGUGGCAUCAGUAGUGGAUACAAAAUAACAGAAAAAAUAUGCAUGGGAUGAUCUCCUGUUGAGGCAGCCGUCCUCUGAGUUGGAACCUGGCACCUCGCAGCCAGCACCUUCAUGCAGCAGUACCUCCAUGCGUCCACUCAGGUCCCAUUAAACUGUCCCAUGUCUGAUCUCAGAAUCCUGGACAACCAAGAGAGAAUGGCCCAAACACUUUCACAGAUAGCCUCAACACUGACCACAAUCUCCAAGACACUUGAAGAAUUUAAUGUUUAAUUCAAAUAAUAAUAUAAUAAUACAAAUAAAGAUAUGCGCUCAAACCUAA